rnacentral:SRP_RNA from 1 species
GCCGGGCGCAGUGGCGCAUGCCUACAGUCCCAGCAACUUGGGAGGCAGAGGUGAGAGGAUCACUUGAGCCCGGGAGUUCUGGGCUGUAGUGUGCUAUGCCGAUUGGGUGUCCACACCUAAGUUUGGCAUCAAUACGGUGACCUCUCGGGAUCGGAGGACCACCAGGUUGCCUAAGAAGGGGUAAACUGGCCCAGGUCAGAAACAGAGCAGGUCAAAACUCCCAUGCUGAUCAGUAGUGGGAUCACCCCUGUGAAUAGCCACUGCACUCCGGCCUGGGCAACACAGNNNNNNNN